rnacentral:rRNA from 1 species
GACGAACGCUGGCGGCGUGCUUAACACAUGCAAGUCGAACGGAAAGGCCCUGCUUUUGUGGGGUGCUCGAGUGGCGAACGGGUGAGUAACACGUGAGUAACCUGCCCUUGACUUUGGGAUAACUUCAGGAGACUGGGGCUAAUACCGGAUAGGAGCUCCUGCUGCAUGGUGGGGGUUGGAAAGUUUCGGCGGUUGGGGAUGGACUCGCGGCUUAUCAGCUUGUUGGUGGGGUAGUGGCUUACCAAGGCUUUGACGGGUAGCCGGCCUGAGAGGGUGACCGGCCACAUUGGGACUGAGAUACGGCCCAGACUCCUACGGGAGGCAGCAGUGGGGAAUAUUGCACAAUGGGCGGAAGCCUGAUGCAGCAACGCCGCGUGCGGGAUGACGGCCUUCGGGUUGUAAACCGCUUUCGCCUGUGACGAAGCGUGAGUGACGGUAAUGGGUAAAGAAGCACCGGCUAACUACGU